UAAACGACUCUCGGCAACGGAUAUCUCGGCUCACGCAUCGAUGAAGAACGUAGCAAAAUGCGAUACUUGGUGUGAAUUGCAGAAUCCCGUGAACCAUCGAGUUUUUGAACGCAAGUUGCGCCCGAAGCCAUCUGGUUGAGGGCACGUCUGCCUGGGCGUCACGU
rnacentral:rRNA from 21 species